AAAUGCGAUAAGUAAUGUGAAUUGCAGAAUUCAGUGAAUCAUCGAAUCUUUGAACGCACCUUGCGCUCCUUGGUAUUCCUUGGAGCAUGCCUGUUUGAGUAUCAUGAAAUCUUCAAAGUAAAUCUUUUGUUAACUCAAUUGGUUUCUACUUUGGUAUUGGAGGUCUUUGCAGCUUCACACCUGCUCCUCUUUGUUCAUUAGCUGGAUCUCAGUGUUAUGCUUGGUUCCACUCGGCGUGAUAAGUUAUCUAUCGCUGAGGACACUGUAAAAGGUGGCCAAGGUAAAUGCAGAUGAACCGCUUCUGAUAGUCCAUUGACUUGGACAAUACUUUUAUGAUCUGAUCUCAAAUCAGGUAGGACUACCCGCUGAACUUAAGC
rnacentral:misc_RNA from 1 species